CAAAGGCUUGGUCCUGACUUUACUAUCGACUUUAGACGAAUUUACACAUGCAAGUAUCCGCACUCCUGUGAGAAUGCCCUACAGUUCCCCGCCCGGGAACAAGGAGCAGGUAUCAGGCACAUCCAUCAAGCCCACAACACCUUGCUCAGCCACACCCUCAAGGGAACUCAGCAGUGAUAAACAUUAAGCUAUAAGUGAAAACUUGACUUAGUUAAAGCUAAAAGGGCCGGUAAAACUCGUGCCAGCUACCGCGGUUAUACGAGAGGCCCAAGUUGAAAGACACCGGCGUAAAGCGUGGUUAAGUUAAAAUUUAAGCUAAAGUUCAAACAUCUUCAAGACUGUUAUACGUAUCCGAAGAUAGGAGCCUCAAUUACGAAAGUAACUUUAUAUAAGCUGAACCCACGAAAGCUAUAGCACAAACUGGGAUUAGAUACCCCACUAUGCCUAGCCAUAAACAUUGAUAGCACAACACCCCCGCUAUCCGCCAGGGAACUACGAGCAACAGCUUAAAACCCAAAGGACUUGGCGGUGCUUUAGACCCACCUAGAGGAGCCUGUUCUAGAACCGAUAACCCCCGUUCAACCUCACCCUUUCUUGUUUUUCCCGCCUAUAUACCGCCGUCGUCAGCUUACCCUGUGAAGGACAAAUAGUAAGCUAAACUGGUACAGCCUAAAACGUCAGGUCGAGGUGUAGCGUAUGAAGGGGGAAGAAAUGGGCUACAUUCGCUAUUUUAGCGAAUACGAAAAGUGUACUGAAACAUAUACUUGAAGGAGGAUUUAGCAGUAAGUGGAAAAUAGAGCGUCCCACUGAAACUGGCCCUGAAGCGCGCACACACCGCCCGUCACUCUCUCCAAAAUUAACGCCAAAUUAACUAAAACCUAAUAUACAAAAAGGGGAGGCAAGUCGUAACAUGGUAAGUGUACCGGAAGGUGCACUUGGAAUAAC
rnacentral:ncRNA from 1 species